AACGGUUCGCAAAUGGUACGCUGC
rnacentral:siRNA from 1 species